GCGCCCGUAGCUCAACUGGAUAGAGCAUCGGCCUUCUAAGCCGGCGGUUAAAGGUUCGAGUCCUUUCGGGCGUGCCA
rnacentral:tRNA from 1 species